rnacentral:rRNA from 2 species
GACGAACCGUGCAAACGUUAUUCGGAAUCAUUGGGCUUAAAGAGCGCGUAGGCGGCGUCGUAAGUUGGAGGUGAAAUCCCAUCGGCUCAACCGUGGAACUGCCCCCAAUACUGCGACGCUUGAGGGAGGUAGGGGCAUGCGGAACUUCCAGUGGAGCGGUGAAAUGUGUUGAGAUUGGAAGGAACGCCAGUGGCGAAAGCGGCAUGCUGGAUCUCUUCUGACGCUGAGGCGCGAAAGCUAGGGUAGCGAACGGG